CACGUAGUUAGCCGGGGCUUCUUAGUCAGGUACCGUCAUUAUCUUCCCUGCUGAUAGAGCUUUACAUACCGAAAUACUUCUUCACUCACGCGGCGUCGCUGCAUCAGGGUUCCCCCCAUUGUGCAAUAUUCCCCACCUGCUGCCUCCCGUAGGAGUCUGGGCCGUGGCUCAGUCCCAAUGUGGCCGUUCACUCUCUCAAGCCGGCUACUGAUCGUCGCCUUGGUAAGCCGUUACCUUACCAACCAGCUAAUCAGACGCGGGUCCAUCCCAUAGCGAUAAAUCUUUACAAAACAGGACCAUGCGGUCCCGCUUUCCCAUGCGGUAUUAGCAGCCGUUUCCAGCUUGUUCGUCCCCCUCUAGUCGGGGCCUAACGGUUACCCCACGGUCCGUUACCUCCACCCGUCCCGCCACUCAGUCCAUCCCAUAUCGUCUUCCCUUCCCCCAGCCAAGUCUUGGUUCUGGUCCCGCGGGGUGGACUGUCUUCGUUCGACUUGCAGUUGUUCGUUAGGCACGGCCGCCGAG
rnacentral:rRNA from 1 species